AGUGAACGCUGGCGGUAGGCCUAACACAUGCAAGUCGAACGGCAGCACAGUAAGAGCUUGCUCUUACGGGUGGCGAGUGGCGGACGGGUGAGGAAUACAUCGGAAUCUACUUUUUCGUGGGGGAUAACGUAGGGAAACUUACGCUAAUACCGCAUACGACCUACGGGUGAAAGCAUGGGAUCUUCGGACCUUGCGCGAUUGAAUGAGCCGAUGUCGGUUUAGCUAGUUGGCGGGGUAAAGGCCCACCAAGGCGACGAUCCGUAGCUGGUGUGAGAGGAGGGUCGGCGACCCUAGAACUGAGACACGCUCCAGACUCCUACGGGAGGCAGCAGUGGGGAAUAUUGGACAAUGGGCGCAAGCCUGAUCCAGCCAUACCGCGUGGGUGAAGAAGGCCUUCGGGUUGUAAAGACCUUUUGUUGGGAAAGAAAAGCAGCAGGUUAAUACCCCGCUGUUCUGACGGUACCCAAAGAAUAAGCACCGGCUAACUUCGUG
rnacentral:rRNA from 1 species